UACUCCAGUCACACUGACUGUAGAGGAACCUCGUAAAUUUUGUGUCUUGUUUCAUUUAUUCCACUGCACCCACAGUCGAUUUUACAACACGUUAUCAGCACGAGAAGCUCUCAUGUCAGUGGAAAGCAUAACGCCAUAAAUUCGGAUAAACACAGAGUAGAGACGGCAAGCCAGACACGACAAACAGGGAAGAUCAUAUUGUCCCAAAAAUCCAUCAACCUUUCUUUUAUCACUAUAACUAUUGAUGUGCUAAUCCUUAUCCCUGCUAGACCUGCAAUAUAUUUUUCUCUCGUGGACAAGAAAGAUGGAGAGAUCUUACAGACAAACAAAGGUGCAGCAAAACAAGCAAAGAGAUCCAGAAGAAUCUCAUUAGACUUGGAAACCCAGAUCGUGUCGUUCUCAAUGGAUCUCGAGGACCUUCAUGAAUCCUCAGUUGUCUGAAAUGGUGAUGGCAUGACUGACCCCACACAGGCCUCCCUCUCUUGUGCCUUCGUCAACCUCACUGUCAUCUAUGUCUCUAUGGAGAGGUUCUUGCUUUGCGAUGCCAUGUUCUUUGGGCCAUACAAGAACAACGCCAGUCUCUGGUAGCCUUUUUGGAUUGAAUUGGUUUUGUGUAACUCCCACAACAACCCAGCUGGUACUGGGUUUCGAGACUGGUAGAGAUAGACAAAGAAAAGGGGAAAUGGGGCCAAUGAUUUGGAAAGGUGCGUUGCACCAUGUAAAAUGAAAGAAAAGGCAAUGUUUUUUUUGGAAUGGUGUAGAAUGUGAUUGAAUGAGAAAAUAAUAAAAUAAAAUAAAAAGGAAAUGGGGACGAAGGUUAUUGGAGGUACAUGA